rnacentral:rRNA from 1 species
AUUGAACGCUGGCGGCAUGCCUUACACAUGCAAGUCGAACGGCAGCAUGAUCUAGCUUGCUAGAUUGAUGGCGAGUGGCGAACGGGUGAGUAAUACAUCGGAACGUGCCCUGUAGUGGGGGAUAACUAGUCGAAAGAUUAGCUAAUACCGCAUACGACCUGAGGGUGAAAGUGGGGGACCGCAAGGCCUCAUGCUAUAGGAGCGGCCGAUGUCUGAUUAGCUAGUUGGUGAGGUAAAGGCUCACCAAGGCGACGAUCAGUAGCUGGUCUGAGAGGACGAUCAGCCACACUGGGACUGAGACACGGCCCAGACUCCUACGGGAGGCAGCAGUGGGGAAUUUUGGACAAUGGGGGCAACCCUGAUCCAGCAAUGCCGCGUGUGUGAAGAAGGCCUUCGGGUUGUAAAGCACUUUUGUCCGGAAAGAAAUCGCACUUACUAAUAUUAGGUGUGGAUGACGGUACCGGAAGAUAAGGA